AGAGUUUGAUCAUGGCUCAGAUUGAACGCUGGCGGCAGGCCUAACACAUGCAAGUCGAACGGUAACAGGAAGCAGCUUGCUGCUUCGCUGACGAGUGGCGGACGGGUGAGUAAUGUCUGGGAAGCUGCCUGAUGGAGGGGGAUAACUACUGGAAACGGUAGCUAAUACCGCAUAAUGUCGCAAGACCAAAGAGGGGGACCUUCGGGCCUCUUGCCAUCGGAUGUGCCCAGAUGGGAUUAGCUUGUUGGUGGGGUAACGGCUCACCAAGGCGACGAUCCCUAGCUGGUCUGAGAGGAUGACCAGCCACACUGGGACUGAGACACGGUCCAGACUCCUACGGGAGGCAGCAGUGGGGAAUAUUGCACAAUGGGCGCAAGCCUGAUGCAGCCAUGCCGCGUGUAUGAAGAAGGCCUUCGGGUUGUAAAGUACUUUCAGCGGGGAGGAAGGGAGUAAAGUUAAUACCUUUGCUCAUUGACGUUACCCGCAGAAGAAGCACCGGCUAACUCCGUGCCAGCAGCCGCGGUAAUACGGAGGGUGCAAGCGUUAAUCGGAAUUACUGGGCGUAAAGCGCACGCAGGCGGUUUAUUAAGUCAGAUGUGAAAUCCCCGGGCUCAACCUGGGAACUGCAUCUGAUACUGGCAAGCUUGAGUCUCGUAGAGGGGGGUAGAAUUCCAGGUGUAGCGGUGAAAUGCGUAGAGAUCUGGAGGAAUACCGGUGGCGAAGGCGGCCCCCUGGACGAAGACUGACGCUCAGGUGCGAAAGCGUGGGGAGCAAACAGGAUUAGAUACCCUGGUAGUCCACGCCGUAAACGAUGUCGACUUGGAGGUUGUGCCCUUGAGGCGUGGCUUCCGGAGCUAACGCGUUAAGUCGACCGCCUGGGGAGUACGGCCGCAAGGUUAAAACUCAAAUGAAUUGACGGGGGCCCGCACAAGCGGUGGAGCAUGUGGUUUAAUUCGAUGCAACGCGAAGAACCUUACCUGGUCUUGACAUCCACGGAAGUUUUCAGAGAUGAGAAUGUGCCUUCGGGAACCGUGAGACAGGUGCUGCAUGGCUGUCGUCAGCUCGUGUUGUGAAAUGUUGGGUUAAGUCCCGCAACGAGCGCAACCCUUAUCCUUUGUUGCCAGCGGUCCGGCCGGGAACUCAAAGGAGACUGCCAGUGAUAAACUGGAGGAAGGUGGGGAUGACGUCAAGUCAUCAUGGCCCUUACGACCAGGGCUACACACGUGCUACAAUGGCGCAUACAAAGAGAAGCGACCUCGCGAGAGCAAGCGGACCUCAUAAAGUGCGUCGUAGUCCGGAUUGGAGUCUGCAACUCGACUCCAUGAAGUCGGAAUCGCUAGUAAUCGUGGAUCAGAAUGCCACGGUGAAUACGUUCCCGGGCCUUGUACACACCGCCCGUCACACCAUGGGAGUGGGUUGCAAAAGAAGUAGGUAGCUUAACCUUCGGGAGGGCGCUUACCACUUUGUGAUUCAUGACUGGGGUGAAGUCGUAACAAGGUA
rnacentral:rRNA from 1 species